rnacentral:rRNA from 1 species
UACGGGGUGGGCAAGCGUUGUUCGGAAUUACUGGGCGUAAAGGGCUUGUAGGCGGCCAACUAAGUCAGACGUGAAAUCCCUCGGCUUAACCGGGGAACUGCGUCUGAUACUGGAUGGCUUGAGUUCGGGAGAGGGAUGCGGAAUUCCAGGUGUAGCGGUGAAAUGCGUAGAUAUCUGGAGGAACACCGGUGGCGAAGGCGGCAUCCUGGACCGACACUGACGCUGAUGAGCGAAAGCCAGGGGAGCAAACGGG